rnacentral:rRNA from 1 species
GCUUGCUCCACCGGAAAAAGAAGAGUGGCGAACGGGUGAGUAACACGUGGGUAACCUGCCCAUCAGAAGGGGAUAACACUUGGAAACAGGUGCUAAUACCGUAUAACAAUCGAAACCGCAUGGUUUUGAUUUGAAAGGCGCUUUCGGGUGUCGCUGAUGGAUGGACCCGCGGUGCAUUAGCUAGUUGGUGAGGUAACGGCUCACCAAGGCCACGAUGCAUAGCCGACCUGAGAGGGUGAUCGGCCACAUUGGGACUGAGACACGGCCCAAACUCCUACGGGAGGCAGCAGUAGGGAAUCUUCGGCAAUGGACGAAAGUCUGACCGAGCAACGCCGCGUGAGUGAAGAAGGUUUUCGGAUCGUAAAACUCUGUUGUUAGAGAAGAACAAGGAUGAGAGUAACUGUUCAUCCCUUGACGGUAUCUAACCAGAAAGCCACGGCUAACUACGUGCCAGCAGCCGCGGUAAUACGUAGGUGGCAAGCGUUGUCCGGAUUUAUUGGGCGUAAAGCGAGCGCAGGCGGUUUCUUAAGUCUGAUGUGAAAGCCCCCGGCUCAACCGGGGAGGGUCAUUGGAAACUGGGAGACUUGAGUGCAGAAGAGGAGAGUGGAAAUUUCCAUGUGUAGCGGUGAAAUGCGCAGAUAUAUGGAGGAACACCAGUGGUGA